GCAGGGGAAAGAUCCAUGCAAGAAAAAGACUGAAACUUGAGUCAGCACCACCUUUGAAAGUGGAAGAGUUUGACCCCAGGGUUGAUUUUUAUCUUACGUUUUAAAUACAGUAAAAUGUUGGAGAAAGGUUUCCGGGUGACAUUUAGAACAAAGCUUUAGGCAUAGUGACAUAGGAACUCCCUAGCAAAGUAGGAAAGCGCCUGUGACCUUUACGAUAGGAAUGGGUUCUGUUGACUGCUGACCAGUGCUCCUGGCUAGGGGCUAAGGAGUAAGGAUGUAUACUCGGCUUAAGGAUGGAAUCUAUUGGUAGAUGAUGCAAAGUACAUGGGACCUCCUUCAGGAGGAAGGGUUCUAUUUGCUGAGACAAAGCUCGGGACUAAGGGGAAUCAGAAAAGCUGGCUCCCUAGAAUAGUAAAAAAAAAAAAAAAAAAAAAAAAAAAAAUCACCAGGUUGUCAGCCACCAUCCACUCCCCCCUUCUGGGUGACCAGGCAUCAGUAAUCAUCCUUUGGAGUCUGGUUUUUCCAGUGGUUUCUUUAAGCUUUCCAUGACCUAAUUCCCUGUCUGCAGUUCGUCUCCCUCCCGCCAAGCAGUCUAUAGACCGCUGUUAUAUUUCUCAUGAUACUUUGGAAAUUUUGAUUGGCAGCUUUUUCUUGCCUAAUAGAGUUUCCUAGUACAUAAGUCACAGAGUUCCUUGAGACACCAUUAUGUGUCAUGAGUUUUAGAAACAUAAAUGAAUAGUAAAAGUCUGGAUGGGAGGAGGAAAUGAGAAGAACAAAGGCACCGCUAUGAGUGUAUUUAUGAUCCAAUAAAAUCCCUGUGGUAGAGCCCCAAAUUGCCUUCAUUCCAGUUACCUUGUCUAGGUCAUUAACCUACCAUCUUACUCAGUCCCCCCCACCCUUCAAUUCCAGCACCAGGGAUACAAUCUUCGGCAAAUACUAAGGUCUCAGUCAAUAUUUGAUGAGUUAUAUUGUGUUACAUUGAUAGUAAUCUACCAUCCAGUUCUUAUGACUGUCAGGUGCUUCCAACCACCUAUCUCACUAGCCAGCUACAUUAUUUGAUUUCUCAUAAUAAACCAGUGAGGCAGAUGUCUCUGUUUGCCUGAUGGGAAACUGAGGUGCACACAAGAGACCUUUCGUAGGGUCAUUCAGACUGAACUAGGCCACAGCUGCUGAGUCUUUUCUUGCUAAUUUCUGAUCAUUUCCUUCCUAACUAAGGUAUUGUGUGUGACUUAUCUGAAACCCAGAAUUUCAUUUGUUUGCUUGCUUGCUUUUGAGACAGGCCCAGGCUGGCCUUGGGUUUGUGUGAUCCUCCUGCCUCAGCUAGCUGCCUGAAUGCUGGAAUUAUAGACUGUGCCACCACGCUUUGGAACAAUGUUUGUUCUUAAAACACCUGGGUCUACUUUUGUGUAUUUUCUACUAUCCUUAUGUUGGAAAUAACCCAUUGUGUCAAGAUCCUUAAAUAUGAGGAAAAGUGAAAUUUCUGUCUGUAUAAAUAACAUUCUUAAUC
rnacentral:lncRNA from 1 species